CAAAUAAUAAUACUAUGAAUCAACGAUCGCAUCAUGAAACACCCGUUGUCGAAAAAAAGAGAAUUUCUCAAAUCUUGCAUGUUUUGUUUCUUUUGUUUCUUUUUUUUUUUGUUAUUUUUCUUUAUUUUUUUUUUUGUUAUUUUU
rnacentral:ribozyme from 1 species